AUUAGAGUUUGAUCCUGGCUCAGAUUGAACGCUGGCGGCAGGCCUAACACAUGCAAGUCGAACGGUAACAGGAAGAAGCUUGCUUCUUUGCUGACGAGUGGCGGACGGGUGAGUAAUGUCUGGGAAACUGCCUGAUGGAGGGGGAUAACUACUGGAAACGGUAGCUAAUACCGCAUAACGUCGCAAGACCAAAGAGGGGGACCUUCGGGCCUCUUGCCAUCGGAUGUGCCCAGAUGGGAUUAGCUAGUAGGUGGGGUAACGGCUCACCUAGGCGACGAUCCCUAGCUGGUCUGAGAGGAUGACCAGCCACACUGGAACUGAGACACGGUCCAGACUCCUACGGGAGGCAGCAGUGGGGAAUAUUGCACAAUGGGCGCAAGCCUGAUGCAGCCAUGCCGCGUGUAUGAAGAAGGCCUUCGGGUUGUAAAGUACUUUCAGCGGGGAGGAAGGGAGUAAAGUUAAUACCUUUGCUCAUUGACGUUACCCGCAGAAGAAGCACCGGCUAACUCCGUGCCAGCAGCCGCGGUAAUAAU
rnacentral:rRNA from 1 species